UACGUAGGGGGCAAGCGUUGUCCGGAUUUAUUGGGCGUAAAGAGCGUGUAGGCGGCUAGGUAGGUCCGUUGUGAAAACUCGAGGCUCAACCUCGAGCUGUCGAUGGAAACCAUCUAGCUAGAGUCCGGAAGAGGAGAGUGGAAUUCCUGGUGUAGCGGUGAAAUGCGCAGAUAUCAGGAGGAACACCAAUAGCGAAGGCAGCUCGCUGGGACGUUACUGACACUGAGGCGCGAAAGCGUGGGGAGCGAACAGG
rnacentral:rRNA from 1 species